rnacentral:rRNA from 1 species
UACGUAGGGAGCGAGCGUUGUCCGGAAUUACUGGGUGUAAAGGGAGCGUAGGCGGGACUGCAAGUCAGAUGUGAAAUACAUGGGCUUAACCCAUGGGCUGCAUUUGAAACUGUGGUUCUUGAGUGAAGUAGAGGCAAGCGGAAUUCCUGGUGUAGCGGUGAAAUGCGUAGAUAUCAGGAGGAACACCGGUGGCGUGGGCGGCUUGCUGGGCUUUUACUGACGCUGAGGCUCGAAAGCGUGGGUAGCAAAC